CCUACGGGUGUCAGCAGUGAGGAAUAUUGGUCAAUGGGCGCGAGCCUGAACCAGCCAAGUAGCGUGAAGGAUGACUGCCCUACGGGUUGUAAACUUCUUUUAUAAAGGAAUAAAGUGAGGCACGUGUGCCUUUUUGUAUGUACUUUAUGAAUAAGGAUCGGCUAACUCCGUGCCAGCAGCCGUGGUAAGACGGAGGAUCCGAGCGUUAUCAAGAUGUAUUGGGUUUAAAGGGAGCGUAGAUGGGUUGUUAAGUCAGGUGUGAAAGUUUGCGGCUCAACCGUAAAAUUGCAAUUGAUACGGGCUGCCUUGAGUACAGUUGAGGUAGGCGGAAUUCGUGGUGUCGCUGUGAAAUGCUUAGAUAUCACGAAGAACUCCGAUUGCGAAGGCAGCCUACUAAACUGCCACUGACAUUGAUGCUCGAAAGUGUGGGUAUCAAACAGGAUUAGAUACCCUAGUAGUC
rnacentral:rRNA from 1 species